UACGUAGGGUGCGAGCGUUGUCCGGAAUCACUGGGCGUAAAGGGCGCGUAGGUGGCGUCGCAAGUCGACGGUGAAAGCUCGACGCUCAACGUCGAGUCGGCCGUCGAGACUGCGAGGCUUGAGCACUGUAGAGGCAGAUGGAAUUCCGGGUGUAGCGGUGGAAUGCGUAGAGAUCCGGAAGAACACCGGUGGCGAAGGCGGUCUGCUGGGCAGUUGCUGACACUGAGGCGCGACAGCGUGGGGAGCAAACAGG
rnacentral:rRNA from 1 species